GACGAACGCUGGCGGCGUGCUUAACACAUGCAAGUCGAACGGAAAGGCCUGCUUUCCCUUGUGGAUUGCGGGUACUCGAGUGGCGAACGGGUGAGUAACACGUGAGUGAUCUGCCCCCAACUUGGGUAUAAGCCUGGGAAACUGGGUCUAAUUCCCGAUAGGACUGCAGGGUGGUGCCUGUGGUGGAAAACGAUUUUCUAGUGGUUGGGGAUGAGCUCGCGGCCUAUCAGCUUGUUGGUGGGGUAAUGGCCUACCAAGGCGGCGACGGGUAGCCGGCCUGAGAGGGUGGACGGCCACAGUGGGACUGAGAUACGGCCCAGACUCCUGCGGGAGGCAGCAGUGGGGAAUAUUGCACAAUGGGCGGAAGCCUGAUGCAGCGACGCCGCGUGGGGGAUGACGGCCUUCGGGUUGUAAACUCCUUUCGACCGCGAGGAAGCCACCUGGUUGGAAGGGUGGUGACGGUAGUGGUAGAAGAAGCACCGGCUAACUACGUG
rnacentral:rRNA from 1 species